UGGGGAAUUUUGGACAAUGGGCGAAAGCCUGAUCCAGCAAUGCCGCGUGUGUGAAGAAGGCCUUCGGGUUGUAAAGCACUUUUGUCCGGAAAGAAAUCCUUGGCUCUAAUACAGUCGGGGGAUGACGGUACCGGAAGAAUAAGCACCGGCUAACUACGUGCCAGCAGCCGCGGUAAUACGUAGGGUGCAAGCGUUAAUCGGAAUUACUGGGCGUAAAGCGUGCGCAGGCGGUUUGCUAAGACCGAUGUGAAAUCCCCGGGCUCAACCUGGGAACUGCAUUGGUGACUGGCAGGCUAGAGUAUGGCAGAGGGGGGUAGAAUUCCACGUGUAGCAGUGAAAUGCGUAGAGAUGUGGAGGAAUACCGAUGGCGAAGGCAGCCCCUGGGCCAAUACUGACGCUCAUGCACGAAAGCGUGGGGAGCAAACAGGAUUAGAUACCCUGGUAGUCCACGCCCUAAACGAUGUCAACUAGUUGUUGGGGAUUCAUUCCUUAGUAACGUAGCUAACGCGUGAAGUUGACCGCCUGGGGAGUACGGUCGCAAGAUUAAAACUCAAGGAAUUGACGGGGUCAUAGCUG
rnacentral:rRNA from 1 species